UCUCGGCGAGCUUCUUGAUCUGUUAAUGAUUAACGUUUGUGCAGCAACAACCAGAGCCUCCCAGACAUUGUGGCCCUCUUCCUUCUCAGCCAGACUCCCAAUACUUUUCAGGCUUGGACGAUUUUGUUUUCUCCAGCGUGGAACUCAUCUCCCUGACUCUAAAGUAAGUUUGAAUCUUUUAUUACACUGUCGAUCUUUUUUUUCACAGUUGGAGUGCCUGGGAGAGCGGAGGCUUCGUGGCCGUUUGUCUGCCGUCGAUCAUCGGACACAAAGUAUGGCUGCGGAUCGAGAGUUUGUUUUCUCUCCCUCUACACCCCCUCCCUCCCCCCUCCCCGGCCGGGGAGGUGGUUAGGUGGUACCCAUGCUGACAGCGGCUAUCUGGAUUCUCGUGGCCAAUUCAGGAUAGGGGAACUGCAGCUCAACCUCCUCGAAGAGCACUGCCAGGACAAUUGAGGGCUCCUUUCGGCAGCCCUCUGCUGUGACAUGGACAUCCACUUUUUAUUUAAUUGAUUUUCAUGUUGUAUCAUUUGUGCCCUCUCUGCAUCCAUUUCAACCUGGUGAUCCUGAAAGGGGGAUCCUUCCAUCUGUGGUCCCUUCUCAAGGUUUCUCAUUUUCCCCCUGCUAGGGGUUUUUAAGUUUUUCCUUGCCCUUUUGGGAGCUUAAGAUCAGGGGAUGCUUUGAGAAUAAUUGUCAAUUUCUGUCUAUGUGAAGCCCUUUGAGACUGCUUGUGAUUUAGGGCUAUACAAAUAAACUUGACUUGACUUGACUGA